UGCACGGUGGCAAAGUUGGUAGCACUGCAACAAGAAGUUCCUGGGUUCGACUCCCGGCCGGAUGUCUUUCUGCAU